rnacentral:rRNA from 1 species
GCAAGUCGAACGGCAACGAGGAGAAGCUUGCUUCUCCGGCGGCGAGUGGCGCACGGGUGAGUAUAGCAUCGGAACGUGCCAAAUAGAGGGGGAUAACCAAGGGAAAGCAUGGCUAAUACCGCGUAAGCUCUAAGGAGGAAAGUAGGGGACCGCAAGGCCUUACGCUAUUUGAUCGGCCGAUGUCGGAUUAGCUAGUUGGUGAGGUAAUGGCUCACCAAGGCAAUGAUCCGUAGCGGGUCUGAGAGGACGAUC